UUUGAAAAACAAAUUUGUACUUUUGCCUUUAUUAAUUGAUUAUGAUAAUAAUACAACACAGGACAACGAUUUAAGUCAAAAAAUAAAAUAUUUCUUACAAAAGUAAUAUCAAUAGCAAUAAAGUAAUGCAAAUAAGGUGCAAACAACUACUGAACCUGGCUUGUCGCCUCAAUACACACAAACACUUAAGGUAAAUAACAAAACUUUAGUUAUUGAACAAAGUUGUAAACAUGAACACAAAACAAAAGAACUGAGAAAUUCAAAUAAAAAAGUAAUAUCAAUUACAAUAAAGUAAGUAGUGCAAAUAAGGUGAAAACAAAUACUGAACUUGGCUAGUCGCCUCACAAAACACAAGAACUUAAGUAAAAAAGAAAACACUAGUUAAUAAACAGUUGUAAAAAUGAACACAAUACAAAAGAACUGAGAAAUUCUUAUCGUUAUUUUAGUGCAAUAAACGACUUUACAGUUUACAACCAAGACAUUAAGUUGCACUGGAAACGCACGCGUGUGUGUGUGUGUGUGUGUGUGUGUGUGUGUGUGUGUGUGUGUGUGUGUGUGUGUGUGUGUGUGUGUGUGUGUGUGUGUGUGUGUGUGUGUGUGUGUGUGUGUGUGUGUGUGUGUGUGUGUGUGUGUGUGUGUGUGUGUGUGUGUGUGUGUGUGUGCGUUUGUCAAAGUGACAUAUGGGGACAUUUUUAUGAAAUUUCACCUUACAUAUGAGGACCUGUUGAAAUAUGGGGACAUUUUCCAUGUCCCCAUAUUUCCCGCAAUGCUAUCGUGUUCUAGACCCUCCCAGCAUGUUCCCAGACCAAAAAUCUCUAAAGUCUUCAUUUGUCAAAUUUUCAGAAAAAGUGUGUGAAAGUGUGUUUAAUUUUUUUGGUCACCUUCGAUUUUGCCCCUAGUGGCCAUCUUUGCUAUUAUGACACACACACACACACACUUGUCCUCAUAUGUCAUAUGUCCUCAUAUGUCAUGUGGGUCAGAAACUCACACACUCCAACAUUUUGAAAAACAUCUAACCAUUACAGCAAUAAACAUACUCUUGAAUUCUGAAUCAAAUAACAACACAUUUUCAACUGAUCUGAUGAUCUCAUCCUUUUUAGUGUUAGUUUUAUCUAUUAAUUUGGUUUAUCUGGAGAGGAUUUGGGCUAGACAAUUAGUAAUAAAGGGAUUAUGGUGAUGAUUUAAUUUGUUUGAUUCAGUAUUUUACUGUAUUGGACUUUUUGCUAUUCUGUUGUCUAAAAUACAAUGCCGCACAAUAAUUGCUUUAAAUGUGCCUGAAAUGUAGGUUUUUGCAUAAAAAAAAACCACCUUCAACCUUGAUUGAGACAAAGGCAAUAAUUCAAAUGCAAUUCAAACUACACACAAUAUUUAAUAUUUUCAAAUGGUUACAAUAGCACAUUAUUUGGGUAUUUUUAUCUUUGGGGCAAAUUUAGGAUUAAUAUGGGGAUUGUUUUUGGAGGUAUUCACUUUACAUGGUGUUCAAGAUGGUUACUUCCGCCCACUCUGAAGAGUCUCGGCGUCUGAUUGGUCCAAUUUUCAGUUAGGCGCCGCCUGAUUGGCCGCUGGACGAUGUCUGCUCCUAACAGAUGGCUAAAUCACUAGUUAACUAUUUUCAUCAAGAAAGUUAUACAGCUCAUGUAUCACACUUAAUAUUGAAUAUAUAUAUAAAAAGGGUUUUCCGAAAGGACCAUUUAUAAUCGAAAUACACAACUUCACACACGAUUUUGAGCACAACAGAGCGCUCAGUGAACAUCACUUCCGGGACCUGCAUCACCGGAGGGGGACAUCUAUCUUGGUCACAAACAAUCUUUGACAGUCUUCGACAGCAUGGUUGAAUCAGGCGCAUCAACACAUGAUAUAGACAUCGUGCCCAAAAGAAGAGCGAGACGUAAUCCUGAGGCUGAAGCCACCGAGUUUAUUUGAUCUGGAUGUGACAAGUCUUGUUUUAAGGCCCAGUGGAUCAAUGAUUGGAAAGACACCAACUGUUGAUGUUCUAUCUCAACAUUCUCCAGAUUCAUGUGAGCGAUAAACCGACUUCAUCCCUCCAACAGACACCAACUGUUGGGGUUCUAUCUCAACAUUCUCCAGAUUCAGAUGUGAGCGAUAAACCGACUUCAUCCCUCCAACAGAAACCAACUGUUGAGGUUCCAUCUCAACAUUCUCCAGAUUCAGAUGUGAGCCAUUAACUGACUUCAUCCCUCCAACAGAAACCAACUGUUGAGGUUCUAUCUCAACAUUCUCUAGAUUCAGAUGACAGCCAUAAACCGACUUCAUCCCUCCAACAGAUUGAAAGCAGGACAAAUCGCUGGAAGUGGGUAUGUCUCAAGCUUCUUCCACUUGGUCCACUCCAAAGCGGGGUAAAUAAAUAAUCUACAUCAUUUACUAGAAUAUUAUAUUACGUUUUGCACCUUUUCACUGUAUUAUAGUCCUUAUUCCUUCAGUAAGAAAUUGUAUUUUGUCUCCUUUAUGACAACUGCAAAGGGGAAGAAGUGGAAGCAGUUGAAUGACACAUGUUGCAUUUUGUAACUGGCAACAAAGUACCAGGUAAAAAAGAUUGUGAAGCCUGCCUCCAUAAAGAACUAGUAGCUCUACAGGACAGAGAUUGGCUUGCCAUCAAGUACUACAUCCAUAACAGAAUUAUAUUAAAAAAAGGGAAAAAAAAUGUUUUCCCACAUCUUCUGUGGUAGUUUGAGUAUGUUACCAGCAAUUAAAAAAGCAAAAUAAACA